AACGAACGCUGGCGGCAGGCUUAACACAUGCAAGUCGAACGCGUGUAGCAAUACACGAGUGGCGCACGGGUGAGUAACGCGUGGAUAUCUGCCUUUUGGUUCGGAAUAACCCCGGGAAACUGGGGCUAAUACCGGAUGGUUCCUACGGGAUAAAGAUUUAUCGCCAAAAGAUGAGUCCGCGUACGAUUAGCUAGUUGGUGAGGUAAUGGCUCACCAAGGCGACGAUCGUUAGCUGGUCUGAGAGGACGAUCAGCCACACUGGGACUGAGACACGGCCCAGACUCCUACGGGAGGCAGCAGUGGGGAAUAUUGGACAAUGGGGGCAACCCUGAUCCAGCCAUGCCGCGUGAGUGAUGAAGGCCUUCGGGUUGUAAAGCUCUUUUGGCGGGGACGAUGAUGACGG
rnacentral:rRNA from 1 species